rnacentral:rRNA from 1 species
GAUGAACGCUGGCGGCGUGCCUAAUACAUGCAAGUCGAGCGAACAGAUGAGGAGCUUGCUCCUCUGACGUUAGCGGCGGACGGGUGAGUAACACGUGGAUAACCUACCUAUAAGACUGGGAUAACUUCGGGAAACCGGAGCUAAUACCGGAUAAUAUAUUGAACCGCAUGGUUCAAUAGUGAAAGACGGUUUUGCUGUCACUUAUAGAUGGAUCCGCGCCGCAUUAGCUAGUUGGUAAGGUAACGGCUUACCAAGGCAACGAUGCGUAGCCGACCUGAGAGGCUGAUCGGCCGCACUGGAACUGAGACACGGUCCAGACUCCUACGGGAGGCACCAGUAGGGAAUCUUCCGCAAUGGGCGAAAGCCUGACGGAGCAACGCCGCGUGAGUGAUGAAGGUCUUCGGAUCGUAAAACUCUGUUAUUAGGGAAGAACAAAUGUGUAAGUAACUAUGCACGUCUUGACGGUACCUAAUCAGAAAGCCACGGCUAACUACGUG